GACGAACCGUGCGAACGUUGUUCGGAAUCACUGGGCAUAAAGGGCGCGUAGGCGGCUCGCGAGGUCGGGGGUGAAAUCCCGCAGCUUAACUGCGGAAGGGCCUCCGAUACCGGCGGGCUGGAGGGAGGUAGGGGUGCGCGGAACUUCUGGUGGAGCGGUGAAAUGCGUUGAUAUCAGAAGGAACGCCGGCGGCGAAAGCGGCGCACUGGACCUCUGCUGACGCUGAGGCGCGAAAGCCAGGGGAGCAAACGGG
rnacentral:rRNA from 1 species